GGGGUAUUAGCUCAAAUGGUAGAGCGCGCGCUUUGCAUGUGCGAGGUAGCGGGAUCGAUGCUCGCAUCCUCCA
rnacentral:tRNA from 1 species